rnacentral:rRNA from 1 species
UACGUAGGUGGCAAGCGUUGUCCGGAAUCAUUGGGCGUAAAGAGCGUGUAGGCGGCUUGGCAAGUCUGACGUGAAAGCCCGCGGCUCAACCGCGGAUUGUCGUUGGAAACUGCCUCGCUAGAGUCCGGAAGAGGAGAGCGGAAUUCCUGGUGUAGCGGUGGAAUGCGCAGAUAUCAGGAAGAACACCCGUGGCGAAGGCGGCUCUCUGGGACGGUACUGACGCUGAGACGCGAAAGCGUGGGGAGCGAACAGG